AACGAACGCUGGCGGCAUGCCUAACACAUGCAAGUCGAACGAGACCUUCGGGUCUAGUGGCGCACGGGUGCGUAACGCGUGGGAACCUGCCCUUAGGUUCGGAAUAACUCCCCGAAAGGGGUGCUAAUACCGGAUAAUGUCUUCGGACCAAAGAUUUAUCGCUUUUGGAUGGGCCCGCGUUGGAUUAGCUAGUUGGUAGGGUAAAAGCCUACCAAGGCGACGAUCCAUAGCUGGUCUGAGAGGAUGAUCAGCCACACUGGGACUGAGACACGGCCCAGACUCCUACGGGAGGCAGCAGUGGGGAAUAUUGGACGAUGGGCGAAAGCCUGAUCCAGCAAUGCCGCGUGAGUGAUGAAGGCCCUAGGGUUGUAAAGCUCUUUUACCCGAGAUGAUAAUGACAGUACCGGGAGAAUAAGCACCGGCUAACUCCGUG
rnacentral:rRNA from 1 species